AUUGCGGGCUACUUCCUUUAGAGUUUGGUGGCUUGAACUGACAGGAGAAUAAACGAGGUCAAUGCCAGACCCAUCCGAAGUUUGCCUCCGGAACCCAAAUUUGUGCUUAAAGGCCGUGUUAAGGAAAAACAGUUGGGUAUGUGUACACACGCCUGUUUUUCGUAUCCGUAUGCCACACCUGUGUCUUUUACUUGUUUUUGACACAGCAUUUCAGCCCUUACCCUUGGCCACAAGAUCUUUGUCACAUUUCUGGAGUACCUUGCAUAUCACAGGAAAGGAGUGUGAAACUGUGAUUCAGGAUUCACUUCUUUUAUGUCUAUAGUGAGAACAAGACUGGACAAGAAGGAAUCUGGUACUGCUUUGGACCUCUUGCCUGGACUACUUUAUGGAGAAGACGGUUAUGGUUGCGCUCUUAAUUGUUCCUUGAAGGCCUUGUGUUGGGAAGUGAUGGAACCUUUUGAGGGUUGGACCUAGUGAAAGGAAGCUGGGUCAAUGGAGGUGUCCUUGAGAAGGAUGCUGACUGUUUUUCUUGUCUUUGUUUCUCAGUCACCAUAAACUGAAGGAAUUUGCUCCACCACUUACUUUCCCCCAUGAUGAUCUGCUUCUCCAAAGGACCCAAAGUAACAGAGACAAAUAAACCUGGGCUGAAAUGAUGAAACAAGAAAUCUUUCAUCCUUAUAAACUCUUAAUCCUAGAUAUUUUUGUCACAGUUACACAGUGCUAACACACAGGUCUGAUGUUUAAGCCACGCUACUAUUUAAAUACAAAUGCGGCGCAGACUUUACACUCGUGGGUCUUCACUUGGAUGAGCUGAUUGCUGCCUGAGUGCCUUUGAAGGAAUGCUACAGACAUCAUCAAUUCUCUGCUACUCUUCAUUAGUACCUUGCCCUUUGGUAAGCCCACAGUCCCAGCUCCACAUCUACUUAGGAAGAUGCUGCCUCUGCCUGGGCCUUUCUCUGAUCAUGGCUUGGAAACUUUCUUCAGGUAGUAAGUUAAGUAACCACUCCCCCACCUCGUGCUCACCUCAUUCAUUUCUGAGGGACCCAAAUCAUGCCUCUUUUUUCAUUGUUACUUAAUGCAUAUAUGUGUAUGUGUAUAGUGUCAAAUAAAGCUGGAGUUUUAAAACAUA